CCAAUAGCGUAUAUUAAAGUUGUUGCAGUUAAAAAGCUCGUAGUUGGAUUUCGGGGUCAGUAGGUCGGUCGUGCCACCGGUAUGUACUGGCCUCACUGAUUCCUCCUUCUUGUAGAACCGUAAUGCCAUUACGUUGGUGUUGCGGGGAAACAGGACUGUUACUUUGAAAAAAUUAGAGUGUUUAAAGCAAGCUAACGCUUGAAUACAUUAGCAUGGAAUAAUGAAAUAGGACGAACGAUCCUAUUUUGUUGGUUUCUAGGAUUGACGUAAUGAUUAAUAGGGAUAGUUGGGGGCAUUAGUAUUCAAUUGUCAGAGGUGAAAUUCUUGGAUUUAUUGAAGACUAACUACUGCGAAAGCAUUUGCCAAGGAUGUUUUCAUUAAUCAAGAACGAAAGUUAGGGGAUCGAAGACGAUCAGAUACCGUCGUAGUCUUAACCAUAAACUAUGCCGACUAGGGAUCGGAUGAUGUUAAUUUUAUAAUGACUCAUUCGGCGCCUUACG
rnacentral:misc_RNA from 1 species